rnacentral:rRNA from 1 species
AGAGUUUGAUCAUGGCUCAGAUUGAACGCUGGCGGCAGGCCUAACACAUGCAAGUCGAGCGGAAACGAGUUAUCUGAACCUUCGGGGAACGAUAACGGCGUCGAGCGGCGGACGGGUGAGUAAUGCCUAGGAAAUUGCCCUGAUGUGGGGGAUAACCAUUGGAAACGAUGGCUAAUACCGCAUGAUGCCUACGGGCCAAAGAGGGGGACCUUCGGGCCUCUCGCGUCAGGAUAUGCCUAGGUGGGAUUAGCUAGUUGGUGAGGUAAGGGCUCACCAAGGCAACGAUCCCUAGCUGGUCUGAGAGGAUGAUCAGCCACACUGGAACUGAGACACGGUCCAGACUCCUACGGGAGGCAGCAGUGGGGAAUAUUGCACAAUGGGCGCAAGCCUGAUGCAGCCAUGCCGCGUGUGUGAAGAAGGCCUUCGGGUUGUAAAGCACUUUCAGUCGUGAGGAAGGUGGUAGUGUUAAUAGCACUAUCAUUUGACGUUAGCGACAGAAGAAGCACCGGCUAACUCCGUGCCAGCAGCCGCGGUAAUACGGAGGGUGCGAGCGUUAAUCGGAAUUACUGGGCGUAAAGCGCAUGCAGGUGGUUUGUUAAGUCAGAUGUGAAAGCCCGGGGCUCAACCUCGGAAUAGCAUUUGAAACUGGCA